AGAGUUUGAUCCUGGCUCAGGAUGAACGCUGGCGGCGUGCUUAAUACAUGCAAGUCGAGCGAGGUUACUGUUUUGGAUCCCUUCGGGGUGAAGAAGCUUUAACCUAGCGGCGGACGGGUGAGUAACGCGUGGGUAACCUACCCCAAAGUCCGGGAUAACAGCGGGAAACCGCUGCUAAUACCGGAUGCCUUUACCUUGGGGCAUCUUGAGGUAAAGAAAGGUAACGCUUUGGGAUGGGCCCGCGUCCCAUCAGCUAGUUGGCGGGGUAACGGCCCACCAAGGCGAUGACGGGUAGGGGACCUGAGAGGGUGGCCCCCCACAAUGGAACUGAAACACGGUCCAUACACCUACGGGUGGCAGCAGUAGGGAAUAUUGCAGAAUGGGCGCAAGCCUGAUGCAGCAACGCCGCGUGGGCGAUUGAAGGCCUUCGGGUUGUAAAGCCCUUUUGCGCGGGAAGAGGAAGGACGGUACCGCGCGAAUAAGCCUCGGCUAACUACGUGCCAGCAGCCGCGGUAAU
rnacentral:rRNA from 1 species